GAUACCACUUAACCUUGAUUGAUGUGCAUAAAGAUUGUAUUUCUAGCAAGAUGUAUUUCUAUGUCAAUUAUGGCUUUUCCUCUUUUUAUUUUUGUCUACUGUCAGAUAAUUCAAACAGCCCUUCACUAAGAAGAAAGAAGGAAAGAAAGAACAAGAUGCAUAAUUAAGAAUAUAUAAAAGAAGCUGUAAUUAGUGUGCAUAAGAUGUAUCCAUGAUGCUCUUCAGCUAGGACCAUGUCGUGGCUCAUCCUGCUGAAACUUCUGAUCCACAAAGCCAAUAUUUCCUGGAUCAUGAUGACAGACUGCAAAAGCUGUUGUAUGUGUGCUGGGUACAUGAUGCAAGGAGAACAAAUCUAUCCAUUCUAAAGGAAAUCAGCCCUGAGUGCUCACUGGAAGGACAGAUCCUGAAGCUGAGGUUCCAAUACUUUGGCCAUCUCAUGAGAAGAGAAGACUCCCUGGAAAAGAUGCUGAUGUUAGGAAAGUGUAAAGGCAGGAGGAGAAGGGGAUGACAGAGGAUGAGAUGGUUGGACAGUGUCAUCGAAGCGACCAACAUGAAUUUGACCCAACUCCGGGAGGCAAUGGAAGACAGGAGGGCCUGGCGUGCUCUGGUCCAUGGGGCCAUGAAGAGUUGGACACGAC
rnacentral:lncRNA from 1 species